rnacentral:rRNA from 1 species
GACGAACGCUGGCGGCGUGCUUAACACAUGCCAGUCGUACGGUAAGGCCCUUUCGGGGGUCCACGAGUGGCGAACGGGUGAGUAACACGUGAGUAACCUGCCCACAACUUUGGGAUAACGCUAGGAAACUGGUGCUAAUACUGGAUAUGUGCUCCUGCUGCAUGGUGGGGGUUGGAAAGCUCCGGCGGUUGUGGAUGGACUCGCGGCCUAUCAGCUUGUUGGUGGGGUAGUGGCCUACCAAGGCGGCGACGGGUAGCCGGCCUGAGAGGGUGACCGGCCACAGUGGGACUGAGAUACGGCCCAGACUCCUACGGGAGGCAGCAGUGGGGAAUAUUGCACAAUGGGCGCAAGCCGGAUGCAGCAACGCCGCGGGCGGGAGGACGGCCUUCGGGUUGUAAACCGCGUUCAGCAGGGACGAAGCUUUUUGUGACGGUACCUGCAGAAGAAGCACCGGCUAACUACGUG